rnacentral:misc_RNA from 1 species
GAUGAAGAACGAAGCGAAAUGCGAUAAGUAAUGUGAAUUGCAGAAUUCAGUGAAUCAUCGAGUCUUUGAACGCACAUCGCGCCCCCUGGUAUUCCGGGGGGCAUGCCUGUCCGAGCGUCAUUGCUGCCCUCAAGCACGGCUUGUGUGUUGGGCUCCGCCCCCCUCCCGGGGGGCGGGCCCGAAAGGCAGCGGCGGCACCGCGUCCGGUCCUCGAGCGUAUGGGGCUUUGUCACCCGCUCUGUAGGCCCGGCCGGCGCCCGCCGGCGACCCCAAUCAAUCUUUCCAGGUUGACCUCGGAUCAGGUAGGGAUACCCGCUGAACUUAAGCAUAUCAAUAAGCGGAGGA